rfam:Brassica oleracea var. oleracea cultivar TO1000 chromosome C3, whole genome shotgun sequence
GGAAUAUAAGAAACCGUCUCUUAAGUUUUAACUAAAAAAACUAAGAAUCGAUUUUUAAAUAAGAUAUUUAAAAACCGGUUUUUAGUUUUUUUUUUUAAAUUAAAACUUAAGAGACAAUUUCUUAUAUUCC